UACGAACUGUGCGAACGUUAUUCGGAAUCACUGGGCUUACAGGGUGCGUAGGCGGCUUGUUAAGCAGGGUGUGAAAUCCCUCGGCUCAACCGAGGAAUUGCGCCCUGAACUGGCGAGCUUGAGUGGGACAGAGGUGUGUGGAACUUCCAGUGGAGCGGUGAAAUGUGUUGGUAUUGGAAGGAACGCCAGAGGCGAAAGCGGCACACUGGGUCUCAACUGACGCUGAGGCACGAAAGCCAGGGGAGCAAACGGG
rnacentral:rRNA from 1 species